CACGUAGGGCGCAAGCGUUUGUCCGGAAUUAUUGGGCGUAAAGAGCUCGUAGGCGGUCUGUCGCGUCGGCUGUGAAAACUCGGGGCUCAACCCCGAACUUGCAGUGGGUACGGGCAGACUAGAGUGUGGUAGGGGAGACUGGAAUUCCUGGUGUAGCGGUGAAAUGCGCAGAUAUCAGGAGGAACACCGAUGGCGAAGGCAGGUCUCUGGGCCACUACUGACGCUGAGAAGCGAAAGCAUGGGGAGCGAACAGG
rnacentral:rRNA from 1 species